rnacentral:tRNA from 1 species
GGCUCAAUGGUCUAGUGGUAUGAUUCUCGCUUUGGGUCUAACCUCGAGUAUGCGAGAGGCCCCGGGUUCGAAUCCCGGUUGAGCCC